CAGGACGAACGCUGGCGGCGUGCUCAUACAUAGCAAAGUCGAACGAGAAACUGGCUUCGGUCAGUGGAAAGUGGCGGACGGGUGAGUAAUAUGUAGAGAAUCUGCCCUAGAGAGAGGGACAACAGUUGGAAACGACUGCUAAUACCUCAUAUGCGCGUAGCUGAAAUGCUAUUCGUGAAAAACUCCGGUGCUCUGGGAUGAGUCUGCAUCUGAUUAGCUUGUUGGCGGUGUAAUGGACCACCAAGGCGACGAUCAGUAGCUGGUUUGAGAGGACGAUCAGCCACAAUGGGACUGAGACACGGCCCAUACUCCUACGGGAGGCAGCAGUAGGGAAUUUUGCGCAAUGGGGGAAACCCUUGACGCAGCAACGCCGCGUGAACGAUUAAGCCCUUCGGGGUGUAAAGUUCUGUCAGUGGGGACGAAACUUGACGGUACCCACAGAGGAAGCAUCGGCUAACUCCGUGCCAGCCGCGGC
rnacentral:rRNA from 1 species